GGACGAGGCGUCUCCCACGGGGGAAGGGACAUGGGGGCGUGGGGUCCAACGCGGGGGACAGGGCGGAGAGGAGGGGUCCCGUGUUAGGGGAAGGGACGUGGGGUCCCGCGUAGGGGAAGGGGCGUGGGGACGUGAGGUCCCGCGAGGGGGAAGGAGCGUGGGGGCAGGGGGUCCCAGGCGGGGGACGCGGCGUGGGGCGCGGGGUCCAGCACUGGGGAAGGAGCCUCGAAAGCAGGGGUCCCGCGCGGAAAGCGGGGCGGGGGCGGCCCGAGCUGGUGGCGUGGACUCGGGAGUGGUGACCGCCAGGCGUGACUUGUGACCCUGCGGUUGUGCUGGGGUUUCCUGACCCUUGCGUGGGAGGCACUCACUGGGGGCGGGGGGCGCCAGCGUUAGCGACCCUGCUGAUCAUAAAGGAGAUGCGGAGGGCGUGGCACGAGGGCUACUGAGAAAGGGUUUCUUCCUCAAGUUUACUAGACUCUGCAGGAUGAGGCGUGGCGACGCGUCAGCCUCCUUCUGUCCCCGAAGGCCCCGCGGUUUUCUGCCAACCUGUCAGACUGGACUGCUCUUUGUGCCCUGGGUGAAGGCUGAGGACCUGGGGGUCCCUGAGAGGUGCACGGGGGGCUCAGCGCGCCUCUGCUGAGAGCUGUCCUUGCAGAGAAACCCUGUAGCAGCGCUCUGGGUGCUCUGGGCCUGCUUGGUGUGUAUCCUGCUGUUUAUCCUGUAAGUGCUGGUUCUGAGCCAACACAAAAAUCCUGGGGAUCAAAGAAAGUCGUUUGAAAGGCAAGCUUCCUCAGCAGUAGUUCUGUGUGAGGACCCGGUGCCUCUGUUUAAAGCUCUCUUCUUCAGAAGCUGGAAAUUGGGUUUUGGCCUGAAACUCCCUGAUUUUUAAAUAUGGGCAUUUAACUCACUUAUGUCUAAUGGAAUGACAAUAAGCAAUCUGGCCACCUUCUGCAGUCUGACCUCAGUUCCAAUCUGGAGGACAGGCUUGGGUUAACUGACCACCUGUGUGCUGUUCCAGCCCCCCCCCCCCCCGAAUUGCGUCGAACAUGUGGUGCAAAAUGAGACUGAAAAUCUGGGCUAAGAAAAUGGAGGGAGAGUAUGAGAAGAAUGAGUAGGGUGACCGGGCAUGUUGGCCUCUCCUAGUUACAGCACCCCCUUCUCUGGGACAGAGGAAGAUGAACACCAAGCCAGAACAUUGUUAUUGGGCAUAGAGUCACAGCUGAGCAUGGUUGAAAACUUUGUUUUAAAUUUUUUAUAAAGAGAAUUUCCAAACACACAUAAAGAGGGAAUAGUUACAAUGAACUUUGAUAUACUCAUCACCUGCCUUCAACAAAAAUCAGUUUUUUGCCUGUCUCAUUUCAUUUCUUUUGGCGUGUUUUCCCUGAAGUAUAUCAGUGUAUUUUUUCGGACAUACAUCAUUUCACCUAUAAAUACUUGAGUGUAUAUCUCUAACAGACAAGAACUUUUAAAAAUACCAUUAUCACAUCCAAAAAAAUUAAACAACUCUUUAAUGUCAUCUAAUACUUAGUAUAUGUUCAGUGCCCCCCCCCCACCAUUGCCUCAAAAAAACACUUUAGAUUGCUUAAUCAGGGUCCAAACAAGGUAAUGUCACUGCAUUCAGGGACACAGCUCCUAAAUCUCUUUGUUGUUGAUGAUGAUGUGCCAUUUCUUACUGAAGCACCUGGAUCACUGGACCAGUAGAAUCCUCCACGUUCUGGACUGGGUGGGUUGUAUCUUAACAUGUCAUUUCACAUGUGUAUUUGUCACUGCUGUAUCCUGUAAACCAUUAGAUCCUCAACCAGGGAGGAUUUGCAGUAAAACUAAUUGUGACUGCGUACAUUACAAUCAUUACCCCUUUUAAUGUUCAGAUUGUCUCAGAAGAUGUCCCAAGUUCUCUGCCCUUUUAACACAACUCAGUCUUUAGUGGCUUCCUUGCUUUCCAUUUUGUACACUUGCCUGCCCUACACACAAAAUCUGCCGUUUAGGGGUGCCUAGGCGCUUCAGUCGGUUGGGCGUCUGCCUUUGGCUCAGGUCAUGAUCCCAGAGGCCUGGGAUCGGGCCUCCCAUCGGACUCCUUGCUCAGUGGGGAGUCUGCUUCUCCCUCUGCCCUUCCCCCUGCUCGUGCUCCCUCUCUCUCUGAGCUCUCUCUAAUAAAAUUUUUAAAAAAUUUGCUGUUUAUCCAAGGAAUCUUGAUUCCCUUUAGUGACAAAUGGUAUUUAUAUUUCUAAUGUUGUAAUUUUUUUUUCAAGACCCUAAAAUUUGUCCUGAUGGGUAAUCUUAAAGAGAUUGCAUUACCCACAGUAGAAAACCUACGUUAGGUAAUCUAAAUCCCCAGGCCCCAAAACUUUUCCCCUCAAAGGUGGUGGGCAAUUACUGCCAACAUUUACCUAAGCCAGCUGUACCUUCAUUCAACCAGCAUCUAUGAGCAGCCACUGUGCCAGUGUUCUAAACCCCGGGGACACAAUGGUGAACAAAACAAAAAUCCUUGUCCUCGUGGAUUUAUUUUGAUUAUCACCCUUCAAUACAUACUCUAUAGCAUGUCAGAGGCAGACAGGUGUCAAGGAGAAAAAUGAAGCAAGGAAGAGGUUAGGGAAUGUAUUGGGUUGAAUGGUGUCCCCGCCAAAGAGGUAUCAUCAAUAUUGAAAUCCCUGGAACCUGUGAAUGUGACCUGCUUUGGAGUCUUUCCAAAUGUCAUUAAGGAUCUGAUGUGAUAAUCCUGGGCCCUAAAUCUAGUGAUCAGUGUCUUCAUAAGAGACAUGGAGACACCCACACACCCACAGAAUGGCUGCUAUAAAAACCAAAUAGAAAGUAAGGAUUGGUGAGGAUGUGGAGAAAUCAGAACCUUGUGAACUGUGGGUGGCAUCAUAAAUGGUGCAACCACUAUGGAAAAUAACAUGGAGGUACCUCAAGAAAUUAAAACUAGAACUACCAUGCGACCCAACAACCCUACUGCCGAAUGUAUCUCUAAAAGUACUGGAGACACGACCUUGAAAAGACACUUGCAUACCCACGCUCACAGGAGCACCAUUCACAGUGGCCAAGAGUAGAAGCAGCCCAAAUGUCCAUCGAUGGAUGAACAGACAAGAGAUCGUAAGUGGUACAUACACACCAUGGAAUAUCAUUCAGCCUUAAAAAGGAAGGAAAUCCUGCAGUGUGCCACAGCAUGCAUGAGCCCUGAGGACGGUAUGCUAAGCGAAAUAAGCCUGUCACAAAAGACAAAUACUGCACGAUUCCACUUGUAAGAGGGAAUCUGAAGUAGUCAAACUAGUAGAGACAGAGAGUAGAUGGUGCUGGGGGAGGGGAGGAUGGGGAGUUGACUAAUGGAUACAGUUUCAGACUUGUAAGAUGAAACAAGUUCUGGAAAUCUGUUCCACAAGGUAACUGUCACUGAACUGUACACUUAGUAAAGAGAGAGAGGCGCAGAUAAAAGGACUCAGCCAUGUGAUCACAGAGGUAGACAUUGGAAGGGAUGCAGUCACAAGCCAAGGAAUGCCUGGAGCCACCAGAAACUGGGAGACAAGCAAGAAAACCUCUCCUAGAGUCUCUGGAGGGAGCACAACUCAGCUGCCAUCUUGAUUUUGGACUUCUGCUCUCUAGAAUUGCAGCAGAUGAUCACUGUACAAUAAUAGGGUCAUCAAUGGAUCAAAGGAUCAAAUCACUGAUUUCACAGGAAAUUCGGAAGUUCUAGGACAUGGUGAGGAAACAAGAAGGCAAAUCCAGAAUAUGGAACAACUGACUUCUUCCAAACACUGAAGUCAAGAUGAGAAACAAAAGUGGGGGAAAUGUACUUAAAAACUGAGCU